AAGUCGUAACAAGGUUUCCGUAGGUGAACCUGCGGAAGGAUCAUUACAAAUAAAGCUGGUAGGAAGUGGGGUCUUGAUCUGUAAGUGGUAGAGCGAACAGUCCGGCUGCCUCCCGAAAUGUCUUACAUGUCCCCCACAGCCUGAAGGCCGAAUUACAACCCUUGAUUAUCUACACUUGUUGCUUUGGGGUGCUCAAGUGCCCCAGAGGACCCAGCUCUCUUUGCAUUAGUCGACGUCUGUAGUAUCUAUAAUAAUUAAAUUAAAU
rnacentral:misc_RNA from 1 species